UUUCCGUAGGUGAACCUGCGGAAGGAUCAUUACAGAGUUCGUGCCCUACCGGGUAGAUCUCCCACCCUAUGUUAUUAUUACUUUGUUGCUUUGGCGGGCCGUUAGGCUCCGGCCCGACUACCGGCCCCGGCUGGUAAGCGCCCGCCAGAGGCCCAGCAAACUCUGAAUGUUAGUGUCGUCUGAGUACUAUAUAAUAGUUAAAACUUUCAACAACGGAUCUCUUGGUUCUG
rnacentral:misc_RNA from 1 species